rnacentral:tRNA from 1 species
GUUGGGUGUGGCUCAGUGGUAGAGUGCUUGCCUAGCACAUGUGAGGCACUGGGUUUGAUCCUCAGCUCCACA